rnacentral:lncRNA from 10 species
GAAAACAGGAACCCUGUUUCUAGGGAAACUAAUAAUUUUUUGCCACCAGGCCUGCUCAAAGAGAAAUGAUUAAGGAAGUUCGCACAAAAAGGAAAUAACUAAAGGAAAUAUUACAUCAGGAAUGAAGAAAAAGGAACAGAAAGGGUAAAUAUAUUAUAAAAUAUAAUAUUCUUUUGAGUUUUAAACAUUGGGUUUGCUGGUUGGAAGCAAAAGUUACAAUUUUACUUGAUAUGGUUCUCAGUGGAUGUAGAGAUGCUUAAUAUCAUUUUGUGUUAGGGGUGUGUAAGUUGAGGCCAUGAUCAUAUACCACCACACACCUAAUAGGAAAGCUAAAGCACACUGGCAAUGCCAAGAGCUAGAAAGGGCAUGGAAUGCUUACACAUUGGUGGUGGGAAUGUAAACUAGUACAGCCACUCUGGGAAAGAGUUUGGCCAUUUCUUAUAAAGUUAAACACAUUUACCAUAUUCGCCAGCAGUCAUGCCCCCAGUGUCUAUCCCAAAUAUAUAAAAACUUAACGUUCGCACAAUAUCGGGUACACAAAUAGUCACAGCAUCUUUAUUUAUAACAGCAAAACACUGGAAACAACCCAAAUGUCCAUCAACAGUGAAUGGAUACACAAACCCUGGUGCAUCCAUUUAAAAGAAUACUAACUCAGUAACAAAAAUUAAAACUAUUUAGACACCUAACAACUUGGAUAGAUCUUAAGGGUAAUUUGCUGAGUGAACAAAGCCCUAUCUCAAAGCUUGCGUACCUUACGAUUCCAUUUUAAUAGCAUUCUUGAAAUAACAAAAUUAGGGUAAUGGGAUCAGUGGCUACCAUGGGUCAUAUUGGGAGGACAGUGUGAGUAUAAAGAGGUAGCAAGAGGAGGCCAGGCGUGGUGGCUCAUGCCUGUAAUCCCAGCACUUUGGGAGGCUGAGGCGGGUGGACCGCCCGGGGUCGAGAGUUCAAGGCCAGCCUGGCCAACACAGUGAAACCCCGUCUCUACUAAAAAUACAAAAAUUAGUCGAGCGUGGUCGUGGGUGCCUGUAAUCCCAGCUACUUAGGAGGCUGAGGCAGGAAAAUCUCUUGAACCUGGGAGGCGGGGUUGCAGUGAGCCAAGAUCGUGCUAUUACACUCCAACCUGGGCAACAAGAGCAGAACUCCGUGGUUUUUAUUAUUAUGGUUAUGUAAGAUAACAUUGAUGAUGCUAAGCAAAGAAUACUCAGGAAACUUUUGUAUAUUUUGUAAUCUCUUGUGAAUCUAGAAUUAUUUCAAAACAAAUUUUAGAAAAAUAACAUUUAAGGCAUUUUUGUAAACUACAUAAUGGUACCUAGUAACUUGGAUAAACACAUCCAAAUAUACUGAAUUACAUUUAUCAGUAAAUUGAAAAAAAUAAAUUUGGGGCCUAUAAUAUGUAAGAACUAAUAAAUAACACCAGAUUGGCACAGAAAACACCUGUGUUAUAUAUAGGAUUAAAAUUUAAUCAGUGAUAAGAACAGCCCGCUUUACAAUUAUGGAAUCAUUGAUAAUAUGAUGCAAGGUAUGCUGUCACAGAAUAGAUAUCAAGUGUAUCAUGAGUUUAGAUUUGUGACAGUCCUCAAAUAUGGUUUUUUUUUUUUUUUUUUGAGGCAGAGUUUCGCUCUUGUUGCCCAGGCUGGAAUGCAAUGGCGCAAUCUUGGCUCACUGAAACCUCUGCCUCCCAGGUUCAAGUGAUUCUCCAGCUUAGCCUCCAGAGUAGCUGGGAUUACAAGCGUGAGCCACCAUGCUCGGCUAAUUUUGUAUUUUUAGUAGAGAGGGGGGCUUCACCAUGUUGGUCAGGCUGGUCUCGAACUCCCGACCUCAAGUGAUCCACCCACCUUGGCCUCCCAAAGUGCUGGGAUUACAGGUGCAAGCCACCAUGCCCGGCAUUAUGUAUCAUUUUCAUGAGACUUUUUUACUUCAUGAAUUUCCUGAUCCUUUUUAAAGUUACUCUUCAUAUAAGUUUUAUUUCUGGGCAAAGGCUUUCCCAUGAUAAUGCUGCUAGUAUGUGUAAGUUCAUUGAUGAUCUAUUAUGAUCACUGAAGAGAUAGGGUCUUUCUUCCCAUAGAAGGCUUUCCUAGCCUACUCCUUUGUAAGAUUUAUCUCAGUAAAUACUUUUCAAGACAUAGUUACUUAGAAAAUUUUCAAGACUUUUCUGCAUUGGAUGUAUCAAGUUUAUUUCCUACAUGUUUAUUGUGAC